rfam:Aedes albopictus isolate Foshan contig77015, whole genome shotgun sequence.
UGCCCAGCAACUCCUAUCCCUACCUUCACGCGGUACCGGCCGGAAACUAUGAGCAACCUUAGGGAAGA